AUCGUUAACUGAAUCCAUAGGUUAACGAAGGGAACCCGGUGAACUGAAACAUCUAAGUAGCCGGAGGAAGAGAAAACAAAAGUGAUUCCGUAAGUAGCGGCGAGCGAACGCGGAAGAGCCCAAACCUAGGAGCUUGCUCUUAGGGGUUCGGACUGUAUAAUCGAUGGAGACUGUUAGUAGAAUCUGAAUGGAAAGUCAGAGCCAAAGAGCGUGAAAGUCGCGUAUACGAAAACGGUCGAAGCGAGACAGUAUCCAGAGUAGGACGAGACACGUGAAACCUUGUCUGAACAUGCGGGGACCACCCCGUAAGGCUAAAUACUACUUAGUGACCGAUAGCGAAUAGUACCGUGAGGGAAAGGUGAAAAGGACCCCGGGAGGGGAGUGAAAGAGAACCUGAAACCCUGUGCCUGCAAGCUGCGAAAGCUCCAUAUGAGAGUGAUCGCGUACUUUUUGUAGAACGGUCCGGCGAGUUAUGUUUGUUGGCGAGGUUAAGCACUUAAGGUGAAUAGCCGAAGGGAGACCAAGUCUGAAUAGGGCGAGUAGUCGUCAAACAUAGACCCGAAACCGGGUGAUCUAUCCAUGGACAGGAUGAAGCGGCCGUAAAAGGCUGUGGAGGUCCGAACACACAUCCGUUGAAAAGGGUGGUGAUGAGCUGUGGAUAGGGGAGAAAUUCCAAUCGAACUCGGAGAUAGCUGGUUCUCCCCGAAAUAGCUUUAGGGCUAGCCCUGUAGCAUUCCUCUUGGAGGUAGAGCACUGAAUAUCCGCGGGGGCUUCACCGCUUACCAAAGAUUAUCAAACUCCGAAUGCCAAUGAGGAUGAGCGCAGGAGUCAGACUACACGAGAUAAGUUGGGUAGUCAAAAGGGAAAGAGCCCAGAUCUACGGCUAAGGUCCCAAAGUACGUGUUAAGUGGAAAAGGAUGUGGGAUUUCAUAGACAGCUAGGAUGUUGGCUCAGAAGCAGCCACACAUUCAAAGAGUGCGUAAUAGCUCACUAGCCGAGAGGUCCUGCGCCGAAAAUUACCGGGGCUGAAACACGACACCGAAGCCU
rnacentral:rRNA from 1 species